CGGGUGAGUAAUGUCUGGGAAACUGCCUGAUGAGGGGGAUAACUACUGGAAACGGUAGCUAAUACCGCAUAACGUCGCAAGACCAAAGAGGGGGACCUUAGGGCCUCUUGCCAUCGGAUGUGCCCAGAUGGGAUUAGCUAGUAGGUGGGGUAAUGGCUCACCUAGGCGACGAUCCCUAGCUGGUCUGAGAGGAUGACCAGCCACACUGGAACUGAGACACGGUCCAG
rnacentral:rRNA from 1 species